GACGAACGCUGGCGGCGUGCUUAACACAUGCAAGUCGAACGGCAAGGCCCUGCUCUUGUGGGUUGCUCGAGUGGCGUACGGGCGCGUAACAUGUGAAUUACCUGUCCUUGCCUUUGGGAUAACUUCACGAAACUGGGGCUACUACCGGAUCGGAGCUUCUGCGGCAUGGUCGUGGUUGGACAGCUUCGGCGGUUGGGGAUGGACGCGCGGCUUUUCAGCUUGUUGGUGGGGUAGUGGCUUACCAAGGCUUUGACGGGUAGUCGGCCUGAGAGGGUGACCGGCCACACUGGGACUGCGAUGCGGCCCAGACUCCUGCGGGAGGCAGCAGUGGGGAAGAGUGCGCGAUGGGCGGAAGCCUGAUGCAGCAGCGGCGCGUGCGGGAUGACGGCCUUCGGGUUGUAAACCGCUUUCGCCUGGGACGAGGGGUGAGUGACGGUAAUGGGUAAAGAAGCACCGGCUAACUACGUG
rnacentral:rRNA from 1 species